GCUGAUGUAGCUCAGUAGGUAGAGCACUUCCUUGGUAAGGAAGAGGUUCACGGGUUCGAUUCCCGUCAUCAGCUCCA
rnacentral:tRNA from 1 species